rnacentral:lncRNA from 1 species
CACUCUUAAGGUCAUCUAAAUUCACUAAAAUUCCCAGGAAAUCCUGAAAGAAGUUUUAGAGUCUAAAAUUUCCCAAAUGUUGCUUUAUUAGAGUAAUUCUCCUCAUAAUUAAUGCCAAUUCUCAAUGAUCAAUUUGAGCUGCUAAACUGAAUCGGCUGAAAAGACUUGAAACAUGGUUGUUUUGAGGUGUUAGGAUUCCAUAUGCUUGGUUGGAUGCAAUUCUGAGUAAUUCUGAGUAUAUUAGGGUCAUUUUCGAUGUCUUUGGGUUGGUUUGCUGGUGUUAUCUGCUCUAGAUCAAUAGCUUGACUUAUUUGACAACUCCUUAUAAUCGAAUCUGAGAAUCAUAGCCUAGUCUGUUUACUGCAUUUGCUGAAGAUUUGUUGCUGUUAUUGCUAUUGUUCUUUUCACUGCCUACUCAUAGGUCUUUCCCUUUGCUUCAUUCCAGGUACACACCUAAAAGCUGCUUGAUGUAAUUCUCUUAAUUGAAAUGGAAAAGAAGCACUACUUCCUGAUUUAUGCUUGCUUGGAUUGCUUAGAUUGUGGAGUGUCUAUAGUUGGAUAGGAGAUAUAGCUGCCUAUGUAAUUUAAUUCAUGUCUUUGGAUUGUGUAUGUUAGAUAGAUUACUAUAUGGGUCUGCUUAUGUAAUUCAUUCUAUUUCUUUGGGUUUGUAUAUGGAGUGUAUAAGGACUGUAAACUCACUCUCAUGAUGUUAUAAUUUGUAAUGGUGUAGCUGCCUAGUGUAAUGCUAGGGUAAGUUAAGUCUAUUUAAGGUCUUAAUUUUUUUAAAUCAUAGAUAGGAGAUCAUGAGCGUGGUG